rnacentral:rRNA from 1 species
UGGGGAAUAUUGGACAAUGGGCGAAAGCCUGAUCCAGCCAUGCCGCGUGGGUGAAGAAGGCCCUAGGGUUGUAAACCCCUUUCAGCGGGGAAGAUAAUGACGGUACCCGCAGAAGAAGCCCCGGCUAACUCCGUGCCAGCAGCCGCGGUAAUACGGAGGGGGCUAGCGUUGUUCGGAAUUACUGGGCGUAAAGCGCGCGUAGGCGGACCUGCAAGUCGGGGGUGAAAGCCCGAGGCUCAACCUCGGAACUGCCUUCGAUACUGCGGGUCUCGAGUCCGGGAGAGGUGAGUGGAAUUCCUAGUGUAGAGGUGAAAUUCGUAGAUAUUAGGAAGAACACCAGUGGCGAAGGCGGCUCACUGGCCCGGUACUGACGCUGAGGCGCGAAAGCGUGGGGAGCAAACAG